rnacentral:rRNA from 1 species
GACGAACGCUGGCGGCGUGCUUAACACAUGCAAGUCGAACGGAAAGGCCCUGCUUUUGUGGGGUGCUCGAGUGGCGAACGGGUGAGUAACACGUGAGUAACCUGCCCUUGACUUUGGGAUAACUUCAGGAAACUGGGGCUAAUACCGGAUAGGAGCUCCUGCUGCAUGGUGGGGGUUGGAAAGUUUCGGCGGUUGGGGAUGGACUCGCGGCUUAUCAGCUUGUUGGUGGGGUAGUGGCUUACCAAGGCUUUGACGGGUAGCCGGCCUGAGGGGGUGACCGGCCACAUUGGGACUGAGAUACGGCCCAGACUCCUACGGGAGGCAGCAGUGGGGAAUAUUGCACAAUGGGCGGAAGCCUGAUGCAGCAACGCCGCGUGCGGGAUGACGGCCUUCGGGUUGUAAACCGCUUUCGCCUGUGACGAAGCGUGAGUGACGGUAAUGGGUAAAGAAGCACCGGCUAACUACGUGCCAGCAGCCGCGGUGAUACGUAGGGUGCGAGCGUUGUCCGGAUUUAUUGGGCGUAAAGGGCUCAUAGGUGGUUGAUCGCGUCGGAAGUGUAAUCUUGGGGCUUAACCCUGAGCGUGCUUUCGAUACGGGUUGACUUGAGGAAUGUAGGGAGAAUGGAAUUCCUGGUGGAGCGGUGGAAUGCGCAGAUAUCAGGAGGAACACCAGUGGCGAAGGCGGUUCUCUGGGCCUUUCCUGACGCUGAGGAGCGAAAGCGUGGGGAGCGAACAGGCUUAGGUACCCUGGUAGUCCACGCUGUAAACGGUGGGUACUAGGUGUGGGGUCCAUUCCACGGGUUCCGUGCCGUAGCUAACGCUUUAAGUACCCCGCCUGGGGAGUACGGCCGCAAGGCUAAAACUCAAAGGAAUUGACGGGGCCCCGCACAAGCGGCGGAGCAUGCGUAUUAAUUCGAUGCAACGCGUAGAACCUUACCUGGGUUUGACAUGGAUCGGGAGUGCUCAGAGAUGGGUGUGCCUCUUUUGGGGUCGGUUCACAGGUGGUGCAUGCCUGUCGUCAGCUCGUGUCGUGAGAUGUUGGGUUAAGUCCCGCAACGAGCGCAACCCUUGUUCACUGUUGCCAGCACGUUAUGGUGGGGACUCAGUGGAGACCGCCGGGGUCAACUCGGAGGAAGGUGGGGAUGACGUCAAGUCCUCAUGCCCCUUAUGUCCAGGGCUUCACGCAUGCUACAAUGGCUGGUACAGAGAGUGGCGAGCCUGUGAGGGUGAGCGAAUCUCGGAAAGCCGGUCUCAGUUCGGAUUGGGGUCUGCAACUCGACCUCAUGAAGUCGGAGUCGCUAGUAAUCGCAGAUCAGCAACGCUGCGGUGAAUACAUUCCCGGGGCU